UCUCUCCACCCACUCAGUGACAAUGUUCCUCUUGCCCGAUCACCUUUCUCCUUUCCUUAUUCUCUUUGCUCACUCAAAAAUUGCUGCUCCUCCCAUCAGCUUGCUCUCUUGUUCGCUGCCUUUAGGUUCCUCGUCCUCACCUCAAGCCACUCCGCAGCUGGUGCUGCCACAGGGACAACAGCUGGUUUGGCUCCUCGUACGCCUCCUCGUUCUCCUAGCCCUUUGCUGGCCGCACCCCUCUUAGAUCCAGCUUGGGUGUGAGGAUGGUGGCGAGGUUCUCUUCCCCAAGCGCGCAAGCAAGAGCGUUGUCGCUCUUUCCACUCGAGGCAGCUCGGGACAUGGUCCUCAUCCUCCACAGCGACAACAUUCUUCGAAGGUCGACCUGCAGACUAAAUAAAAACGGAGGGAGUACAACUUUACUACAUCAAAACCACCGAGUUAAUGAAGACAGUGGUGGACCUAGAGAUCGUGCUUUGCUGUGGCGAUGGACGACGAUAAAUAUCAUGGCGGUGCUCCCGCUGGUCAUUGGACAGGGGAGUACCCUUCUCGGCCGCUUGAGACCUUGACCAGCUGCCCCGCUUGAUGAUCGUACAUACUGGAGGUGAUCUAGUUGCUCAACGGAGCCGGCUGGUGCCCAAUGCCGAAGUGCCACUGGUUGGAGGAAGUUGACCUUAAAGUGUUGUUCAAUGGAGGAAGAUGAUGUACAAGGUUGUUCGGAUGCCGAGAGAUUUUUUAUAUGCAUGCAACCAUGAGAUUUUGGUCCUAUCUAGAGAUAUUCUGUUUGGAGAGAUCAAAUCUCUGCAAAUUUCUGAGAGUUUGGAUUUGUUUGGAGGGAUGGCAUCUUUGUACAGUUUUUUUGUGGGCAGGAUCUUCAGAGUUUGGUCAUGUUUCUUACCCUGUACGCCCUAUUUUUUUAUUACAUGGGAUGGUCUGAUCGCUCG